UGAAAAACAAAUUUUUCAAGUUUAAAAGAGAAUUUUCCCAGAGAAUAAAGUCUGGGAAAGUCUUAGAAGCUUGGUUUAUACUAAUCAUUGAAACAAUGUAUUAACAAUGUAUUAACAUAGAGAUGUAUUGUCCGGGCACAGCACCAUAUUUGAUAUCAGUCUGAACUGCCUGUACUAGCUAAGGACAAGGUAGUGGCUUUCAUCCAAGGCUUACAAGCUUGUUUUAGCUCACAGACGGAUGCCCAUUCGAGAAACAAGAUGGAAGUAAUUUGAAAAC